GCUCAGUUCAGAUCGUAGGCUGCAACUCGCCUACGUGAAGGAGGAAUCGCUAGUAAUCGCAGGUCAGCAUACUGCGGUGAAUACGUUCCCGGGCCUUGUACACACCGCCCGUCACACCAUGGAAGUUGGCCACGCCCGAAGCCGUUACUCCAACCCUUGUGGAGGAGGACGUCGAAGGUGGGGCUGAUGACUGGGGUGAAGUCGUAACAAGGUAUCCGUACCGGAAGGUGCGGAUGGAUCACCUCCUAA
rnacentral:rRNA from 1 species